UACCCUCUACGAUAUGUGUUACUUCUCUAACACCAUCCUCUUUCUGUUUCCACCCUUUAAGAGUCAAGACGUAUAAAUAUAAAAUAAUAAAUAGACAAUAGUUAAAAUAAAAUUUAAUAAACAUAAGUGAAAAAUCCGUAGAAAUAACUACACAGGUCAAGCUAUCGUCCUUCUAUACAUGCUGCAUUAGCGACUCGCUAUAAUCUUCAGUGGAGAUGUUUGCCACGCACAGGGCGACCCAUUUAAAAUCUGAUGCAAAAUUCAAAUCCUUUAUGGAUGAAUUUUAUUAAUCAACAGUCUGUCGAUUCAUAACUGGCGAUUCCGAUGACAAAUCCGCAAAUUAAGCGCCUGGAGGUAGUGUCACAAUUAUCACUCUAACAGACAUACCCAAUAAUUUCAUAUUGUCUUCAAGACCCAUUAUGAGGAGAUAAGUGACAUUUCUAGAAAGUUAACUGGCGAUCUUUUGUAUGAAGCAAGGAAGGAAAGUAAAAAAAUUGGAAGCCAUGAACAUAGGCCAUGGGAUCAAAAGAAUGGGAAAAUUUCCAUGUUCCCUUCACAUCUGUGGAAGGGUAUGGUUUUUACUCGAUGCAAUGCCUAAGAAGAAUGAAAAAGCUCUUUAAGAACGCUAGAAUGAUACUUUUAGUCUCUGCCUUUAAAGAGUCCCUUAAAACAUCAAUCCUGGAGGAAGAAUCAAAAGACUCAGCUCCAAGCCAUCUUAUAUUUGGUCCUUCAUUAAUCAAGAUGAUGUUGGACAAUGUUCGGAAUGACCCAGCUUUGUCUAAUGCGAUUCAAUAAUGGGGUUCAGGGUAUCGAACGAUACCUUUUGGGUAAGCAACAGCUGACAUGCCUACGUACCCUUACUUAGGGUCAAUACUUCGCUUAAGAAUUUUAUGGGACAUUGAAGAGGUCAUGAAAGGCCUACAAGAGAAGGAUACAGAAGUACACCUCCUUGAGUUAUUCCUCAUUUAGAUAAUUUUUUCCAACUACUCACAAAAGCUGUUUACAUAAUUGUGCAAUUUUAACUAAAAGUAAAUCUAUACUUAAUAUUUUGAAUAUGGUUAUAAACCAGCUUCUCACUUUGAGAAAGAGAAAGAAAGGAUAGUUCAGCGUCUAAAGUUUUUUUCGAAGCUAAAAAAAUCCCUCCAUUUCAAACUGUCCGGUCCGAUAAUUCAUUAAUCAGAACAAAACAUUUCUCUACCCAGCAGAUUUCAAAUUCUUCAAAUCAAACCUUAAAAUAUAGAUAAUCUCUAAUUUUGUGAGGGUAAAAAUGGACUCCCUGAGGUAGAACGAGAAAUCAUUAAAAAAAGAAACUCUGAGCUUCAAAACUUUUCUCCAAGGUUCCAUUGUACCUACUCAUCUACAGCACUUAUUUAAGAAAUAUGGAAUACUUAAAGAGACUUUGCAAAUUCCAAACAUUUUGUCUCUUUUGAAAAGCAUAGAACUAGAAAAAGAAGAAUUUCUUAUUGAUGAUGCAUGGAAUAAUAACUUAUAAGAAAAAGUUAAAGUGGCCGUUCUUUUGGAUGGCAGGGCUAAAAUAUUUCAUCUCAAUUAGACAACUUUUUCAAGCAGAAGAAGCACUUCGCAUUAGAGCUUUUUCAAAUAUACCAAAGUUCCAAUAACCGAGUUGUCUAGAAUAUUAGAAGACACCAAUGAAUUGGAAUGUGAAGGAGACUUAGACUUGAUGUUUAACAUCUGUAACACCGAAAUCUGGUUUAUCACUGAAGAUACCGAUCUCAAAGCUACUCUUUACUAGAUCGGUGGGUUCAUUUCAAGGUCGGUCUCUAAAAAAAAUUCUUGUUCCAGCUCCAAGAAUCUUUUAAUUAAAGAGAGAUCCUUCGAUGUCAAUAAUUUUCAAUGUACCACCGAAGAAGAAGCUGAUAUAACAGUUUAAUUGAGUUGAUUAAUAGAUGAGGGCUUAUUACCCCUUCCAAUGUGCUCUUUUUGUCAAUUUGCUACUAUGGAGUCCGGAACCAUUACACAACCUCGUCGUAUUUGUUCUGUGAUAAAUAAAUAUGAGUUGUUGUUAUCACACUGGAAAGUAAACUGUAUCUUUGUUAAUAAUUAUUAAUUAAAUAAUGAACUCAAUUGAGCAAAAUAAAACCAAAAUUUGGUCAAUAAACUUCUAGUUAUUUUACUAAAGCUACACAAACAACUUUUUAAGUUGCAUUUUGAAGAGCCGAGAUUUAAUCAAAAAGUUGUUCAACGCUUCAUCUGCUACUAAUAUUUUCAAUUGUGCGACGAUCCAAUUAAUUAAUUGCGAAGAAAGUGCAUUCUCACUUCUAGAUAAAAAAUGUGAAUCUGGUUCCUAGUACCAGGAUUUAUUGAGCAAGAUUUCAUGCAAAGUAUUCAAUGUCAGGAACUUUGUAAGGUCAAGAAAUGAUGAAAUUCGUUUAAGUCUGAAGUGGAAAAAAGAAUCAAUAUCAUAUCAACGAAUAAAAGCUGCUAAAUUAUCCUCUGUGUCUUCCGAAAAAAAAACUUUAUUUGAAUAUUCUUGAUAACCCCUUUUAAAUCCUAAAAAUACAUUCCACAUUUUGAUUAUGAUUAAUAUUU
rnacentral:lncRNA from 1 species